UAGAUGGAGAGUAGAGCAUAUCAAUAAGCGGAGGAAAAGAAACUAACUAGGAUUCCCUUAGUAACGGCGAGUGAAGCGGGAAGAGCUCAAAUUUGAAAUCUUCAAGGUUCUACCUUGACGAAUUGUAGCUUUAAAGAAGUGUUUUCUGUUGGAGUUUUGGUAAAAGUUCUUUGGAAUAGGACAUCAUAGAGGGUGAGAAUCCCGUAUUUGACCAUUAUUUCCAACUUUGUGAUACACUUUCAAAGAGUCGGAUUGUUUGGGAAUGCAGUCCAAAAUGAGUGGUAAAUUUCAUCUAAAGCUAAAUACUGGCGAGAGACCGAUAGCGAACAAGUACCGUGAGGGAAAGAUGAAAAGAACUUUGAAAAGAGAGUUAAACAGUACGUGAAAUUGUCAAAAGGGAAGCGUUUGACACCAGUGUUGUUUUCUCGAAAAUCAAUUAAAAAUGGUGGGAUGUUGUGUUGUAUUGACUUUAUCAGCUUUCUGCACUUUUUUUCCUAUCUUUUUUAAUGCACUUUUCGUUUAACAAGUCAACAUCAAUUUCUUUUGUUGUAAAAGAGUCAUUGGAAGGUGGCUUUCUUUUCGGAGAAAGUGUUUAUAGCCUUUGGCUUCUGCAAUCGGAGAGAUUGAGGUCUGCAGCGUAGAUCCUUCGGGGUUAGAUGCAUUUGUGCUAAGUUAUAGCCUUUCAUAGACAACUUGUUGACUAUGAUCAGUCAUGUAGCUUACUCGCUUAUGCUAUUUUACCUACGCUUAGGAUGUUGAUAGUCACAGCGUGUAC
rnacentral:rRNA from 1 species